rnacentral:SRP_RNA from 2 species
GCUCGGGCCCUGUGCAUCGUCGUCCUUCGAACCGUGUCAGACCCGGAAGGGAGCAGCACUAAGGGGGAAUACGACGAGUGCCGCAGGUCGCCUGGGCUCC